rnacentral:lncRNA from 1 species
GGGAACAGAUAGAAAGGGAGUAUUACACCCUUAACACAACAAUAGGAAUCACCACUACCCGGCUUGAAGCUCUGGCUCGCACAAGGGCUAUCCGGGUGUGAGUAGGACCCCUGGGAUAUGCCAUAUUGCGCUAGCGGCGCUAUCCGCUACAGAAAUCGGCGCGUGCGGCGUCCGAGCAGCAAACCGGCGACAGGGAUAGAUGGGAUCGAUAACGAUGGCGGGACAGCAGCAGCCAUCACCCCGGCGUUCGGUCGCAGUGCUGGAGACCCCAUCCUGGCAGUCGUGCAGGAGCGAGUGUAGUCUGCAGCACCGGUGGAAAUCACGGCCUAAAUAGCCGUCCCAGAGUCGGGUCAGGGGCUUUUAUGUAGGGAGGAUGAGGGAGAGGGCGAGAGAGCCAGGAGUAAGCAUAGGUGGGAAGGGCGAUUGAGGAGAGCAGGGAGGCUCUGGGCAGGUGGAGGGCUGGGCGAGAUGGUAGUGUCCUGGCCUAGGGUUGCGUGGUCUAGCAAGGGGAGUUGUGGAGCUGGGCUAUGUGCAUUCGCGUGCUCGUGUGUAUGCCCUUGGGGCCCGUCCAAGAGAGGGGAAUAGGUUCUGUGCUGUCUGGCAUCAGAGUAGAGACGGCGAAGGUGGCUUGUGAGAGUGGAGAGGAGGUGCGAAAGCGAUGGCGGAGAGUGGCUUGAAGGUGGAGAUUAGGUGAUGCUGGUCCCGGCCGGCCAGGGUUAGGAGGGGAUCAGGCGGGAUCAGGCUAAAGGGGGUGCCUCGUUCCCUUUCACUAUAGAUGCAGCCUUGCGUGUACAGCGAAAAUGUUGGUUGGGCUUGUGUCGGAGCCCCCAACUUCGGGCUUACAGGGUGUUUCCACUUGGCCGAACACUAACACUAUGUUCGAAUGUUCUUCGUCCUGGACUCGUCUCUCACCGUCCUAAAAGCGUAUAUUGAUAUAACUAAUGAUAGAAACAAAUAUUCAUCAAACAAAUUGGAGGUUGGGGCACUCCUGGCGGAGAACCGUAAGGCCUAGUGGAAACACCCCGUACACUAAGCCCGCACUAGCGCGUCACAAAGUUAAUGGGACCUCAGACCUGUCAUUAACUUGCAAACCUAGCACUAACUAUAUGGCGGGCAACUUUUAGGAGCUGGUUUGUGCCUUCUGACCACAGACCUUUGAUCUGGGCAGCUAUCUUUUUUCCUUCCUGCAAACGCCGCGUUGACUUGCGCACGCCCAACACCGACAGCCUCAGAAGGCUGUAGCCCGUGAGGGCUGCCAGGAAAAGCCUACGAUCCAUAUUUUCCUUGCAGACCUUGACAAUUAGCAGCAAUUAAUACCUGGCGCUAAAACAUUCAAAAUACGAAAACCAUUUUGGUUUCGGCGUUCCUUAGUGCAGCUAGUGAAACACCAUCACACUAAACGAUAUCGCGUCCGUGAAUGCAUCUGCGACAAGGCACCAACAAGUGUCGACCCUCGUACACGGGUUGUCGCCUGGGUAUCUAAAACAUCUACUUGCCCAGAAACCAAAUCCAGCAUCAAAUACGUGAUGGCUAAAUCUUUCGAAGUUUGCCAACUAGUCACGCUAAGUUGUCAGCAGCCACAGAAGACAACUACCGUACUGCCACGAUAUUUUUGUGACACGCUUUUGGGGAAGGCUCGAAAAUCAUAGCCGGAAUUAUGCUAAUGAUUUGCAUUUUUGGUGACGAGUCCCGGACAUAAUUGCAGUUGUGACACCCAGUUUGGCGACGCUCCAGGGAGGCCCCGAGCAGAAACCGCAGCAUUAUUACUGUGUUCAUUCGUUCGUUGCUCUGAGAGGAAACAUACACGUAGAUGAAGCGCAAGGUAAUCAAUCUGUCAACCAAACAAAACAGGUUAGGCACCACAGAGCUGGCCCCCUUGCAAAACCCCCAAGUCCCCUCUGCCGCAAAUCCCGAAACCUCCCUUCAAGCAAAACUGUUAUGACGCCCUCAGGCCGUCAGUCUUGAAAUAACGUAUGGAACCGUUGACCCGCGGUCCCCUGCACCUACCAUAAUUUACUUAAUGAGUGAGGAUGUGUGGAAAGCGACCAAUAUACAGGCGUGAACGUCUCAGCGAUAACGGGCAGGCUUGCUAAUCUGCCGUUUGUUGGCAGCACGGGCCUCCGCCAACUGCACUACCGCCUCCUCUUCCACCUCCGACUCCUCCGACUCCCCCUCGCUGCUCUCGCCCGGUUGCGGCCUAGCCUGGGCAGUAGAGCUGUGAGUAACACUUGCUUCGGCUUCUUGGACGCCAUUGGAGCGAGCUCAUGGAAAAUCUGUCAGAAAGCCUUUUUUUGAGUGGAAAACUAUAUAUAUAACUUAUUACUGAGUUAGAUUGAGAAUUCGGACCUGUUCUGGCCGGUAUCCUGCAUGUUUAAACGCGGUGUACGGUGUAUUGGUGACACUUAUUUUGGCGACGGGCAAAAAAAUCUGCCAAUAGAGCUUUCUCCACAGACACGCAUUUGGUGACGCCAUACCAAUUGCGUGUCACAAAAAUAUCGUGGCAAUACGGUAUCUCGGUAGUGUCCACCAACGUUUAUCUACCUACUAAACAACAACAGUCAAGAUUAAAAAGUUGGACCGAAAACGUUCGCAGACUCUGGUUGACAUUAUGUGGCCUCCAAGCACUGUCAGCUAGGAUGAAUUGACAAAAUAUCGAAGUCGUGUUCGCACAUAGGUGUUGUCGUGGCGUGCGCGAAGG